rnacentral:snRNA from 1 species
AGCUGUGAGGGCUAUCUGACUGUGCCAUCUGUCAUCCCAUUGAUCACCAGGGUUCAUUUGGUUCAUCUGGCUGGCUAGGUAGGUGUCCCCUUCCUCCCUCAUGGCUCCAUGUGCGUCCUUCCUGCUGCACACUCGGUUGAAGAGAAUGACCUUCCCUGAAUAGAGGAGGACUAGUCUUUGGCCAAGGGUAUACAAGUAGCUACACUUCCUGAUAGAACCUCCAAACAAACUCUCAAGAAGAGUAAGCAACAUUUUAGUUUAGAGCCAAUUUUAAAUAACAAAGCCUUUGAUAGAAAACACAAAAAUAUGAGCUACAUAUAUGGCUGUAAGU